rnacentral:rRNA from 1 species
AGAGCGAACGCUGGCGGCAGGCCUAACACAUGCAAGUCGAGCGCCCGUAGCAAUACGGGAGCGGCAGACGGGAUAGUAACACGUGGGAACGCGCCCUUCGGUUCGGAAUAACUCAGGGAAACUUGAGCUAAUACCGGAUACGCCCUUACGGGGAAAGAUUUAUUGCCGAAGGAACGGCCCGCGUCCGAUUAGCUAGUUGGUGAGGUAAUGGCUCACCAAGGCGACGAUCGGUAGCUAGUCUGAGAGGAUGACCAGCAUCACUGGGACUGAGACACGGCCCAGACUCCUACGGGAGGCAGCAGUGGGGAAUAUUGGACAAUGGGCGCAAGCCUGAUCCAGCCAUGCCGCGUGGAUGAUGAAGGCCUUAGGGUUGUAAAGUCCUUUUAACGGGGAAGAUAAUGACGGUACCCGUAGAAUAAGCCCCGGCUAACUUCGUGCCAGCAGCCGC